rnacentral:rRNA from 1 species
AGUGAACGCUGGCGGUAGGCCUAACACAUGCAAGUCGAACGGCAGCACAGUAAGAGCUUGCUCUUACGGGUGGCGAGUGGCGGACGGGUGGGGAAUACAUCGGAAUCUACUUUUUCGUGGGGGAUAACGUAGGGAAACUUACGCUAAUACCGCAUACGACCUACGGGUGAAAGCAUGGGAUCUUCGGACCUUGCGCGAUUGAAUGAGCCGAUGUCGGAUUAGCUAGUUGGCGGGGUAAAGGCCCACCAAGGCGACGAUCCGUAGCUGGUCUGAGAGGAGGAUCAGCCACACGGGAACUGAGCCACGGUCCAGACUCCUACGGGAGGCAGCAGUGGGGAAUAUUGGACAAUGGGCGCAAGCCUGAUCCAGCCAUACCGCGUGGGUGAAGAAGGCCUUCGGGUUGUAAAGCCCUUUUGUUGGGAAAGAAAAGCAGCAGGUUAAUACCCCGCUGUUCUGACGGUACCCAAAGAAUAAGCACCGGCUAACUUCGUG